GUGAGAGAACACUAUCUGAGGCAGCUUGAAGAACUUCCUCACUGGGAACAGUUCCUUUCUGUUCUGGCAAGAUCCAAGUGACCAGGGUCCCUGAAAGCCCUUUCUUCGCAUUCAAAUUCAGUGGUCAGGCCUUGGCACUAACCGGCCUGUCCUAGCGUUAGCACAGUGCAUCACUGAGUCUUCUGUGAUGCUGUGUUCAGCUGCUCCUGGUGAUUCACUCUAGACUUUACCUCAUGUCCCAGUGGCUACUUCUGAGUCCUGCUUGCUGGGACUCCUGCCUGAGGACAUUUCUCUGGCAAGGAUCGUCACAAACGUGUGAAAUGUUUGCCCGGGGAAAACACACAGAAUGAAAUGUGAUGCCAGAGCUUACUGCUGUUUUGUCACAUGAGUGUUUUCGACUAAGAUAAGCCAACUUCCCAGAUUCCCAGAGAGAUUAUUUCUUCUGCUGCCGAAAGAAUACCAGGAUGUAGCAGUGGAAAUAGAGAACUUCAACAGUAAACUUGGAUUGGGAAGUCCUAACCUGUAUCUUUUCUUUGUGGUAGUGUGUCCUGGCAUGCUGGGAGCUCACGUCUUCUGUAAACUGUUGGCAUCUUGGAGUGUGGAGCUUCGAUGAUCUCGGAGCUGGAUAUGGAUGAAGAACCUAGGGAGAGGGGACAGAAAAGGUGUCCCGACUUAAGAACAACCAAAAGGAAGUUCUUUCAGUCACUUGAGUAAAUAUCUCCGCUGAAAGAGUUCAAGAGAUAAGUUAACCGAAGGACAGUUGUCUCUGUUUAUGCAUGCUUUGGAGAUGAUUUGAAGUUGGUGAAACUGAGGCCCAGAGACAGAUACAAUUUUCCUAAGUCAUUGUGACUAUUCCAGCAGCACAUUGGCCAGACAAGCUUUUUAUAGUAGGAGCACAGCUCUGUAAUGAGAACCAACUGGAAAAGAACUACACAACAACUUGCUGCUGUGCCAAGCUCACAUUAUCAUGCUUAUUACUCAUUUAUAUUUAGUCCUCUUAUGGAGACCCUGCAGCAGCGUGACAGAGGACUGUGAUGCUCCCAGGUGAUCUGUCUGGAACAGACAUCACUGUGUCUGGGACAUAGAGAAAAGGGGAUGAGUUACAGAUCCCUGCAGAGUACACACACAGGGACUUUUGGCUGUGCUCAUAUGGACCAUAGAUAUGGUCGAAGAAUAGAGUACUGUGAGAAGACUUCUCAGUGCUUGUGAGAAUAUUCCUAAAAAUCCAGACAUUGGCCUUGUGACCAAAGUUUCCUCAAAAUACCAAAUUGUCCAUGGACUGUGUUUUCAUGCUCCUCCCUGGUGUCUUGGAUAGAGGUCACAGUGCUGAUUUGUCCCUGCCCUUAAUCUGCCUGUUGGGAUCACAGUGAUUCUGGAAGAAUUACAGCACUUUUUAUGUGAUGCUGAUUUUCAGGGUUAAUUUAAUAAAAUUUUGUUCUCUAAUGUUUUGCAGCUAUAAUUAUGUUUCGACAUGUAGUCAUCUUCAUUUUCGCUUAACUUUUUGUAUCCUGUUAAAAACAUUUUGAAUGCAACAUUGAGAUCUGGAUCUUAUAGGAUUUUGACUGCUGAAAUCUUUGAUGUAUGUACAUCAAAGCGCAGGUUAGGGUGUUUAAAACACUUCAUUCCAUCAACUGCUAUUAGUACUCAAAGAAAUAUACAUGUAUGCUUUG
rnacentral:sRNA from 1 species